rnacentral:lncRNA from 1 species
GGAGAUUGUGUGACAGAGAUGGCAGGUAAUUUAUUCUUUCUCAAAGUCCACUCUGAAUUGCAAGUGCUUGAUCCUGGUUCGUGAUCUCCGUGGUUGAUAGUUUACCAUGUGUCCUGUUCUUUCUCUUACUCAUAACCAGGUUCUGAUCCAGACAAUCUUAUAGUCCACCCACGGCCACGGCAAAAGAAGCCACACAGUGUCGCUAAUGGGGUACCAGCUUGCACAUCCAAACUGGCUAAGUCUCUUCCGACCUCACCUUCAGACUUCUGCCCGUCUCGCUCAUGUGUGUCUGAGCACAGUCCCGUCAGUGCGCUGACUGUGACUCCUGAAGAAACCAAACCGAAUGAGGUUGGAAGAGAAAGUACGGACCAGAAGUGGAGCGUGGUGUCCAGACCCAGCUCCCGGGAGGGUUGCUACGGUGGAUGCUCCUCGGCCUACACAAGCUCCCACGUGGAACGAGAUGACUUACCAUAGGUGCUCGGGCUGCAGCGCUGUCCUGGAGUGCAUGAGAGGAAUUGACACGGGGUGUAGCAUAAAGUCAGCCAUCUACCUUAAGAUGUCGGAGUUGUUUGUUUGGACUUCCCAGUCUUUCCCCAAAGAGCUGAAACGCUUUAGAGGAUGCGAAAGCUUUGGCUGUGUGUUAGUAACAGAAGCCUCUGGCUCUGUGAGUAAAGGAAUGUAUGGUGUUUGGUGGGAAACAAAAGCACGAGAAUGAUUUCCUCUUCCGGGUACUGAGAAUAGCACUUUUAGGGACUGAUUCUUGUAAACAUUAAAUUUUUGUCCCAAGUAUGGUUGGCAUUGGAAGUUUAGUCUUUACUUGAAUGUACACUGUAGAUUUUUAACAAAGCAGUUCUAUAUUUAUUAUGUUUAGUGUGAUUUUGGGAUUACCUCUUUCAUAUGUUUUCUGCCUGUACAUAAAUAUACAUGACUAUGUUAAGAGGCUUUAAGGUUUAAAAAUUUCACACCAUGCUCGAGUAUAGCAUUUCAUGCCAAUUAAAAUGUUUUCAGUGGCAUGGUGUUUACAGAUGUGUUAGGACCACUGCCACAUGACAGUUAAGAUUUUAUUUUUAAGCCAUUUGGGCAAUAAAAAUUCAAAGCCACUUCAUAAGCUAAGUUCAGAUAGCUAAAACUACUAACAUUACAUUUUUGAGAUUUAUAAAGCAUUAUAUUUUAUUUUAUAUAUGUGACUGUUAUAAUUUCUAAGAGGAAUGUGGAUUAUGAAGCAAUGGGGGAAAGACAGAAGUGACUAAUAGUGCAAGAGCAUUGGGUGAAGGGACGGCUGAUGAGGAUAUGGGAGACCUGGGUGGUGAUCUUUUCCUUACCGACGGUGCGGUGCGGCGAUCUCUGUACCGCCAGGGCUUUCUAUCAUUGCCAAUACUUUUGUAAUUAAAGAGAUUUUCAACUACAUACCACUACUAAAGUAAGACAGUGUAAAACUUUGGCUUUUGUAAUUGACACUCUGGACACUGGUGUGUUGUUCAUUUCUAGAACAAUCGUAGGCUCUUUUCUCUGUUUCUGCUGCAUGUUUCUUCAUGAGAAGUAUGUUACUAUUGACAGUAAUGACACUGACAGUGACUGUAGACGUAGGCCCAGACUUCUCCUGGGUGGAUUUUCAUCCAGCAGCUUUUAAGUGCCUCGCCCUGCUCGUCUCUGCACAUAGCCGCCGACACAAGCCCUCGCUUGAUGAUGCAGAUAGUCCAUCUGCCUUUCUCUCCCCUUGCCCUGCUAUGACUGUUGCAUUAAAUUCAUCAUGCUGCCAAAAGACAAGCUCCGUGUUGUCCAUUCCC